rnacentral:tRNA from 2 species
GGGCCGUUAGCUCAGUUGGUAGAGCAGUUGACUCUUAAUCAAUAGGUCCAAGGUUCGAAUCCUUGACGGCCCACAA